rnacentral:rRNA from 1 species
UGCCUACGGGACGCAGCAGUAGGGAAUCUUCCACAAUGGGCGCAAGCCUGAUGGAGCAACACCGCGUGAGUGAAGAAAGGUUUCGGCUCGUAAAGCUCUGUUGUUGGAGAAGAACGUGCGUGAGAGCAACUGUUCACGCAGUGACGGGAUCCAACCAGAAAGUCACGGCUAACUACGUGCCAGCAGCCGCGGGAAUACGUAGGUGGCGAGCGUUAUCCGGAUUUAUUGGGCGUAAAGCGAGUGCAGGCGG